CAACCAGCACCUCAAGUGGUCAGGAUGAUUAUUGGGCCUAAAGCAUCCGUAGCCGGCUCUGUAAGUUUUCGGUUAAAUCUGUACGCUCAACGUACAGGCUGCCGGGAAUACUGCAGAGCUAGGGAGUGGGAGAGGUAGACGGUACUCGAUAGGAAGGGGUAAAAUCCUUUGAUCUAUUGAUGACCACCUGUGGCGAAGGCGGUCUACCAGAACACGUCCGACGGUGAGGGAUGAAAGCUGGGGGAGCAAACCGGAUUAGAAACCCUAGUAGUCC
rnacentral:rRNA from 1 species